CAGUGUUCAAGAUAGCAGAUUGCCUAGUGGUGCUGCUCAGGUUAAACUAAUCUCUGACAAAUAUUUACUUGCAGCUCUGGGUCAAUCCUAGAUGAGGAUGGGAUGGUUGGAUGGCAUCACUGAGUCAAUGGACAUGAACUUGGGCAAACUCUGAGAGAGAGUGAGGGACAGGGAGGUCUGGUGUGCUGCAUUCCAUGGGGUUGCAAAGAGUCGGACAUGACUUAGUGACCGAACAACAACAAGGUCAAUAGUAAAAAAGCUAAAGGAAUGUGGCACCCUGUUCACGAAGAAGACGUGUCUAGCUUAUGGAAGCCCUGCUUUCUUCCUCAUUACUAGAAUAUCUGGCUUAAUUAUGGGAACCUGCACCCUGAGAAUGACACAGAUAACAGAAACACAAAUUCGAGGCGGCUGACCUUUGUAUGACCAAAGGUCAGGAGAUGUUGUGAGGAGGGUCCCUGGAGUCUGGUGAUUAGCCUUUAAAGAGGGGAUCUACCGUCCAAGGGCCAAGCCUUCAGGUCAUUGCCCAGCACUGGGAACAGAAACAGUGGACCUUCUGGCUUGGUAAGUACCAGACUGUUCUACUGUGUGGCCUCCAGAGAAGAAAUGUUUAGCUAGGCAGAGGCUAGAAGGUGAAGUGAGAUCUCUGGCAAGAGCUAGCCAGCCAGUCCCAGGAUCACUGUUGUUGCAUGAGGCUAGGGUCAGUUUCUUGA
ensembl:lncRNA